AGAGUUUGAUCCUGGCUCAGGACGAACGCUGGCGGCGCGCCUAACACAUGCAAGUCGAACGAGCGAGAGAGAGCUUGCUUUCUCGAGCGAGUGGCGAACGGGUGAGUAACGCGUGAGGAACCUGCCUCAAAGAGGGGGACAACAGUUGGAAACGACUGCUAAUACCGCAUAAGCCCACGACCCGGCAUCGGGUAGAGGGAAAAGGAGCAAUCCGCUUUGAGAUGGCCUCGCGUCCGAUUAGCUAGUUGGUGAGGUAACGGCCCACCAAGGCGACGAUCGGUAGCCGGACUGAGAGGUUGAACGGCCACAUUGGGACUGAGACACGGCCCAGACUCCUACGGGAGGCAGCAGUGGGGAAUAUUGCACAAUGGGGGAAACCCUGAUGCAGCGACGCCGCGUGGAGGAAGAAGGUCUUCGGAUUGUAAACUCCUGUUGUUGAGGAAGAUAAUGACGGUACUCAACAAGGAAGUGACGGCUAACUACGUGCCAGCAGCCGCGGUAAAACGUAGGUCACAAGCGUUGUCCGGAAUUACUGGGUGUAAAGGGAGCGCAGGCGGGAAGACAAGUUGGAAGUGAAAUCCAUGGGCUCAACCCAUGAACUGCUUUCAAAACUGUUUUUCUUGAGUAGUGCAGAGGUAGGUGGAAUUCCCGGUGUAGCGGUGGAAUGCGUAGAUAUCGGGAGGAACACCAGUGGCGAAGGCGACCUACUGGGCACCAACUGACGCUGAGGCUCGAAAGCAUGGGUAGCAAACAGGAUUAGAUACCCUGGUAGUCCAUGCCGUAAACGAUGAUUACUAGGUGUUGGAGGAUUGACCCCUUCAGUGCCGCAGUUAACACAAUAAGUAAUCCACCUGGGGAGUACGACCGCAAGGUUGAAACUCAAAGGAAUUGACGGGGGCCCGCACAAGCAGUGGAGUAUGUGGUUUAAUUCGACGCAACGCGAAGAACCUUACCAAGUCUUGACAUCCUGCGACGCACAUAGAAAUAUGUGUUUCCUUCGGGACGCAGAGACAGGUGGUGCAUGGUUGUCGUCAGCUCGUGUCGUGAGAUGUUGGGUUAAGU
rnacentral:rRNA from 1 species